GAGGAAGGUUGCGAAACGAAAACAAAACGAAACUGCACUCGGCGAUGAAUUCGACCUUGAUUUUCGAUUUUCGGCGUGAUUUCGCUUGCCGACAGUGCCGACGAUUGUUGGAGACUUUCUCUUGCUCAGCUUAAUAAGAAGAUUUUCACGGACUUGUCUUUUCUUGCUUGAGAGGUUGGCGUCCGAGCCUUUUCUCUGGUUUCCGUCCGAGAAUGCUGGACGAAGGACUGAGAAAGGAUUUCCUCAGUUGCCUGAGGCUGGCCCUUGGAACCGGCAGAGCUCCCACCUUGGAGGUGAGAUGGUUGCUGACUUCAAGGUUGGACAACUUGGUCGAUUUUGCGUGAGAGACAGACGCUGGCUGACCUAAAUGGCACGCUGUUGGUCUCACUAAGCAGUCUGAAGCGAGCCUUGCCGUUGACUGAAUCAGUGAAUCGAACUUUUCAAUCGAUCUCUGCGCCAUGUUGUCUGCAAAUCCACAAAUUGAUUGCCGCUCAGAGAUGAGGCCACAGAGAACGAGGUGAUGGUCGCUCUUCAAGUUUGACCACCUCAGAGCAGGUGAGAAGUUCCAUGACCUACUUUAGUAAUACAAUUUUAAACAGUUUCUUCAAUUUAUCUGAUUGCGUUGUUAAAAAUUUAGACACAACAAUUGAGUAAGCAACGGUCCAUUUUGAUUUGUUUCUCUGUCAAAAACAUUCUCCCAUUUUAGAGUAAAUUCACCAACUCUUAUUUCAUUUUCUGCUUUUUCUCCCAAUUUUGCCUUUUCAUUUCAAUUUAAAAAAUUGCUGCUCACUAUGGAAUGAAAAGUCGGUAUUUGCAAGACGCCCAUGAAGCUGAAAUUUACAGAAAGCUCUCCACACGGUCAAAUAAUGAGAUAAUUCUGACUCUUGUACUCCUACGUGUACGACUAAGUUGUGGCAAAUUCAUGUGUGUUGAUCGCGGCGCAGUAUUUAGGACCCUUUCCUGACUUGAUCGACCGAGUAUGGCAUAUCCAGCAUCAGAUUUUUGACGCUCUCACCAGGCUGAAUUCCUGUUUGUUUGUUUUUUGUUGUUUUUGGUCAUGCAUUUUUACUCAAUAUUCUUUUUUCAACUUUAAUGAUACCAAUAAAUGCCCUUCUUUGAUAAGUUUUUCUGACGGUGCAUACCGUAUGGAAAGGCAGGUUGAAGUUGCGGCAAUUUCAUGUAUCUGUCGUGUUGAAAGCAGCACCAGCAGGAAGGACCCUUUCCUGACUUGAUCGACCGAGUAUGGCAUAUCCAGCAUCAGAUUUUUAACGCUCUCACCAGGCUGAAUUCCUGUUUGUUUGUUUUUUGUUUUUUUUUUUUUUGUUAGGCGUUUUAACUCAAUAUUCUUUUUUCAACUUUAAUGAUACCAAUAAAUGCCCUUCUUUGAUAAGUUUCUCUGACGGUGCAUACCGUCUGCAAAGGCAGGUUGAAGUUGUGGCAAUUCCAUUUAUCACAAAGUUUUCACAGUUUUCAGGACCUUUUCCUGACCUGAGCGAUCCAGCAGAAUAGCAAUUUUUUUUUAUCCUGCCUAGAUUCCGAAAUAGUACCUUUUUCAAAACAAUGUUUGUGUAAUUUCACCUUUGCCCAGUUUAGAAUUUACCUUCAACUAAAUCUUCUUAGUCUUAAGCACGUCGCAAGAAGAUUUCCCUCCCUCUUCAUUACCAGUUUUCCCUUCAAUCACGGCAGAUUGAAGAUCUAGUUUUAUUUGCCCUCAGAAGUUUGUCAUCAGUUAGAGUACGAAAAUGUUGUUGUUUCAUGUCGCACGCGCCCGCCACAACAAACUAUUCGGACCGAUCGAUGUCCUGGCCUCGAGGAUCACCAACGAGUCUAAAGUGAAAUUUGCAGCGGAGCAAAUUCGACCUCAUCGGAUGAGACACGUGUCGCGUUUUAAAAUGGCAAGAAAAUUCAUUGUCCAGCGGAUGGCUCAACGGAUGCGGCCAUGGAUCGCCCAACAAUGCUCUCUCUGGUGUGGAGGCUUUCAUUGUUGUCUUCCUGUUUGCAACCGAAACUUGCAUUGCUGUCUCGACCGAAGAAUUUCGUCGUCCCCAACGGAGAAAAAGUAUGUGAUUUUUAAAACUUGAAGUCUUCCAAUGCCAAAAUCGAAAAUCGUCAAGGCUAAUUGGAAAGAAAAAGUAUUAAGAUGGUGCAGGCCACACGAGAAAUGUGGCGUUGAGUUUAUAGACAUGAAUAUUUUAUAGACCUGCCAAACAAACUACAAACUGCAGCCAUGAUUAUUGACCAUAUCAAUUGAGUCUUACAAAAAGUGGGACUAGAUUUUUUCCAAAAGUAGACUGGAUCUCCGGUACGUUGCAUUGUAAAAAGGGUAAAAAGCCUCUUUUAUGACAUUGUCUGUCAAGAUGGUCUUUUUCCAGGACAAGUCGGCGUGAGCUGGUUUCGUGUCCCACUUUUUGUGUAAUUACUAUGAAAGAAUUUGUUAAUUAUGCUUAAAAAUAUAGUAAAUAUUGUAAAAUAAACAUUUUAAAACAUAGUAAAUCAUUGUGGUGAGUACAAAAUUAAAAAUAAUUGACGUCGAAGCGCGUCGUAUGGUUGUUUAGUUUUAAACAGCAGGUCAAAUGGCCUCUCUCCACUCCGGGAGAUUUGCUUCGAGGGACCAAGGCCAUCGAGAAGUUCCCGACCACAGCCUUUCCAUCCGAGUUUGCCCUGGCAUGAUCACUCUAUUUGUUCGACUUGGGCCUUGUAAAUUUUCAACAUAGCGUCGGUGAAGCUCUGCUGAGAGAGUAGAACGAAUUUUGGCAUGCCGAAGACUGACUCAAUUAUUCGUACAUGUGGCUUCAGCAAUUAUGUCCAGCUUGGUAAACGUGUCCAUCGUGAACCUCGACAAGACCACAUUGAAAUCGAAACCAUUUAAGUAAUUUACUCCGCCUUUCAUUUGGCAACAUUUUCGGCUGCCAGGUCGGUUCUGUUGAGGCCUUGUCCACUUUUAUAGGACUGGAGAAGCUGCGAAUAAGGACAAGGUCAAUUUCAGGUUGCUUAUUGACUAAAAAGUGUAGGUGGACAAAUUCAUGCGCUGCUACGAGCGGCGCACAAAGGAUCUGGCAAAAAUGCCAAACCAUUUUCAGCAAGAACUUGUUUGACAGAAUCACAGAUAAGCAGCAGAUAUGUCUUAAGCCACAAUAAGGCUGUGAGAUUCUGGGCUAUGUUGUCUUCAAGGACACAAAAGCCCCUUCAUGUCGAAAGAGCCUAACUGAGAGCACCUCCAGAUGGGUAUAAAAAAACCAGUGUGUGGACUUGUUCGCCAGGAGUUUUGAUGAUUUUUAUAUUGAGGAGAAAAUUCGCCCCGUCCGGAACCAUAUCGAGCGCCAAGCAGAUGACAUCGAGGGUAAAACGGCCUCGCUCCACUUUGGAAGAUUUGCUCCGAGGAACCAAAGCCAACGAAAAGUUCCCGACUGCAGUCUCUGUCCUUUUCAUCCGAGUUUGCCCUGACAUGAUCACUAUUCGAUCAACUUGGCGAAUUUCCAACAUCGCCUGCUGAUGAAGCUCCGAGAGAGACACAAAGAAUUCAGACAUGCUGGAGGGUGUCCCAAUUUCGACCAUUGAAUGCUCGGCAAUGGAAAGUGGCUUCUGUCUGUCGAGGCCGCUAAAUCCAAGUCCUCGACCUAAUUUAAAGCUGAAGAAGCUGUCAACAAGGACAAUAAAGUCAAUGGCUCAAGAGAUUUUUGAUGGGAAAUUCAUCUUCUGCAACAAGCGGUGCAAAAAUGGCAUUUAGAUCAUGCAUUUUGCUAAAACGUCUUAAUGAAGAUGAGGAGCUCUGAAACGUUUGCUUAGUUCGGAUUAGCCAACAAUAUUUUGUACUUUGUUGCUUUUGAGGACUCGUUGCUUUGCGACGUGAAUGUAAAAGUGGAAUUUAGUUUCACAAAUUUGAUUUAUUUCUCUUGUAUUUUUUGUAUUGGUGAAAUCUAAUAUUUGAUAACUGAGUUAUAUAAGAAUGAGAAAAUUGUUUUGAUCCAUGCCUGGAGAACGGGGGGGGGGGGG